rnacentral:rRNA from 1 species
UUGACCUCAAAUCGGGUGAGACUACCCGCUGAACUUAAGCAUAUCAAUAAGCGGAGGAAAAGAAACUAACAAGGAUUCCCCUAGUAACUGCGAGUGAAGCGGGAAAAGCUCAAAUUUAAAAUCUGGUGGCCUUUGGUCAUCCGAGUUGUAAUUUAGAGAAGUGUCUUCCGCGCUGGACCGUGCACAAGUCUCCUGGAAUGGAGCGUCAUAGAGGGUGAGAAUCCCGUCUUUGGCACGGAUCCCGGUGCUUCUGUGAUGCGCUCUCGAAGAGUCGAGUUGUUUGGGAAUGCAGCUCAAAAUGGGUGGUGAACUCCAUCUAAAGCUAAAUAUUGGCGAGAGACCGAUAGCGAACAAGUACCGUGAGGGAAAGAUGAAAAGCACUUUGGAAAGAGAGUGAAACAGUACGUGAAAUUGUUGAAAGGGAAACGCUUGAAGUCAGUCGCGUCGUCCGAGACUCAGCCUAGCCUCGGCUUGGUGUACUUCUCGACCGACGGGUCAGCAUCAAUUUCACCCCUUGGAUAAUGGCGAGGGAAAUGUGGCACCUUUGCGGGUGCGUUAUAGUCCCUCGUCGCAUG